rnacentral:misc_RNA from 1 species
GGCCACUCCGCAAGGGGUGAGUCGAGCUGCCCAACGGGUGAGUAACGCGUGGAUUAUCUGCCCUGAGGUGGGGGAUAACCCGGGGAAACUCGGGCUAAUACCGCAUGAUACCAAGAGGUCAAAGGGGGCUCGCAAGGGCUCUCGCCAUACGAGGAGUCCCCGUCCGAUUAGCUAAUUGGUAGGGUAAUGGCCUACCAAGGCGACCAUGCGUAGCCGACCUGAGAGGGUGAUCGGCCACAUUGGGACUGAAACACGGCCCACACUCCUACGGGAGGCAGCAGUGGG